CGUAAGAAAACGGAACGGAGUUUUAAACUUAUUAAAGUCAUCAUCGUCCACAGCAUCGAGAGUUCUCUCAGAACCUUACCGGACCGGAAUAAAGUGGGAAAUAGGGUUUAACAGAUUCGUGUCUCUUCUCAUCCGGUGAUGUCGAAGCGUGCUGACAAAGGGAGAUCGUGGCAUGGAUCUCGAAUCAAUCAAUUCGGAGUUGUAUUCUUCGUUGUUGGGAUCUCACUGGUCGCGGUUCUGUUGUUUUGUUUCAGUGGCAAGAAGAAUCAGAGCUCGGAGCUGGAACUGGAACUACCGAGACAUAUUUCGAACAAUGUCAAUCCCGAUUUUGAAUCUCAUCCAACCCUAGAGAUUCAAAACGGGACUCAACUGAUAUGGAAGAUACCAAAAUCGCCAAAGGCAGUUCUGUUUAUCGCUCAUGGUUGCCAUAGGAAAGCUUCUGACUUUUGGGACAAAUCUUCAGAUUGCCCUGAAUGUACUGGUCUACCAGAGGAGAGGUUUCUUGUCCGGUUUGCUUUAGCUAAGAAGUUCUCUGUUUUGACUGUGUCUAGUGCUGGGAAAUGCUGGACCUUGGGGAAGGAAAAAACCAUUGUUGAAAACAUCAUUAAAUCGUGGGUGGAUAAGCACAAGCUUCAAAGGCUUCCUCUUGUCGCGUUAGGGGCUUCAUCUGGUGGCUACUUUGUCUCUGCUCUUGCUACACAUUUGCGGUUUAGUAGUAUCGUGCUUAUGAUUGCGGAAGGAGUCUUUGAUCAGAUUAGUAUCAGUAAACACUAUCCUCCGACUCUUUUUGUGCACAUGCCUAAAGAUGUCUACAGACAACAAAAGAUUAGGGAAUUUUUAGAAGGUCUCAGAAUGGAAGGCGUUGAUGCUGCAGAGAUUGAAUGCUUGGAUUUGCCGCUUUCUCCUGAUUUCUUGGCAGGUAGGAUUCCUGGUCUUGGUUCAGAUGUAUCUGCCAAACUGUGUAAGUUAUUUCAAGACAAGGGAUUUGUUGAUGAGAAGGGAUACAUGAAACGUGAUGGACGGAGAACACCGUGGAAACAAGCUCUCAGCGGCAACAAGAUAUCACUGGAACAAAGUUUGAUUACUCCUGUUGAUGAAGAACUGAAUCUUGCAUAUGCAUACCAUGAGAUGACGAGCUUGCAGUCUGACCAAAUCUUUAACUGGUUUGAAUCGCAUAUGAGCUGAUUGGCUGACAGAUUUUCAUACAUAUAUCAAGUUCAUUCUUUGAAAGCUCUAGGCAGCAAUAAGAUAUCUGAUUCCAAAGGAAAAUGCUUAAACGGUGGAUUAUGAUUCGAGUCUGGCAAGAUCAGAUCAAGGUCACUCUAGGGGCUGCGAUUAGGGUUAAGAAGACUGUCUUGGUUAGCGUAACUAAACUAAACUCUCCGCUUAAAUUCAGCAGGGUUGCGUAAAGCCAGCUGCUUUUUUUGAUUCUCGUUUGCCUUUCCAAGUUUGAUCACCGACUUUACAAAAGACUCGUGGACCUCAGGAGUCCAUCUCAAUCUCAGCUUGUGAUUGGCUGCUGAUCCCGGAGAAGGGUGAGAUGAAACAACGUCAAUAGGCACUGCUCCAGCAACACAGCUUUGGCAUGGACUCAACCUGGUGACUGGAUUUGACGAAGCCAAUAGCAUUUCACAUAUCUUCUGUAUCAACCAGAAACCAAGUGUUAAAAGGAGCAAUAGACUUUUCACACUCUAUAUCAACACUUCAACAGAAUGUAGAAGCCAGUAUUUAUCAACACUUACCACUAGUUUUACGAGCCUGCUGCUUUCAAUUUCACUCUCUCCAAUGCCUUUGUCGAGUCUGCUGCUGUUUGUAAGCUGAUAAUGUCCAUAAUUAAAAUCACAAGUGUUUUCCAUUGUGUU